UUGCGAACCCUACGGGAGGCAGCAGUGGGGAAUCUUCCGCAAUGGACGAAAGUCUGACGGAGCAACGCCGCGUGAGUGAUGACGGCCUUCGGGUUGUAAAGCUCUGUUAAUCGGGACGAAAGGCCUUCUUGCGAAUAGUGAGAAGGAUUGACGGUACCGGAAUAGAAAGCCACGGCUAACUACGUGCCAGCGGCCGCGGUAAUACGUAGGUGGCAAGCGUUGUCCGGAAUUAUUGGGCGUAAAGCGCGCGCAGGCGGAUAGGUCAGUCUUUCUUAAAAGUUCGGGGCUUAACCCCGUGAUGGGAUGGAAACUGCCAAUCUAGAGUAUCGGAGAGGAAAGUGGAAUUCCUAGGGUAGCGGUGAAAUGCGUGGAUAUUAGGAAGAACACCAGUGGCGAAGGCGACUUUCUGGACGAAAACUGACGCUGAGGCGCGAAAGCCAGGGGAGCGAACGGGAUUAGAUACCCCGGUAGUCCUGAGU
rnacentral:rRNA from 1 species